GGUCUGCCUAGCAGCACACUGGUGCCACUCCUCCAGCUGAGGUUCUGGGUCUGCCUAGCAUCACACUGGUGCCACUCUUCUCCAGCCAAGGUUCUAGAUGAACCAAGACAUGAGAUCUAGAAUGACUUCAGAGAGGAGAGUUGAAUGGAGUCCAAAAUAUCAUUCGAUACUACAGCCUUGUUUUCCUUGAGUCUCCGAGAAAGGAAAAUGGAGCAGGUGCAGAGGGAGUGCACUGAGAUCUAAAGGGUUCUAUUAUGAGCCUCUGUGACUGUAAAUCCCAGAUGGGAGAGAUACAUUAACUAACAUGAAGUGCUGCUCUCCAACAGAAGCCGUCACAUCUUGCCCAACAGGAAAGGUCUAUUGACAACGGAGACACUGUUGUGGGAUGUUAAAGCACCUGAAUACCUUUGCCAGUGGGACUCAAAGCAGCCCUGCCACACUGAGGAUCUGGCUCAGUGCUUUUGCUGACAAAGCCGCUCAUAGAGCACCAGAGAGUUUGUGGAAACUUUGAUGUAACAAUGG